rnacentral:misc_RNA from 1 species
UCUCCGUUGGUGAACCAGCGGAGGGAUCAUUACUGAGUUACCGCUCUACAACCCUUUGUGAACAUACCUAACUGUUGCUUCGGCGGGCAGAGGUCCCUCGCGGAUCUCUCCCGGCAACGCCCUCACGGGCGGAGCGCCCGCCGGAGGAUACCAAACUCUAUUUUAACGACGUUUCUUCUGAGCGGCACAAGCAAAUAAUUAAAACUUUUAACAACGGAUCUCUUGGUUCUC